GGCUAUAGCGCAGCUGGAUAGCGCGCAUGACUCCGACUCAUGAGGUCGAGGGUUCGAAUCCCUCUAGCC
rnacentral:tRNA from 1 species